ACAAGGAGAGUUUGAUCCUGGCUCAGGAUGAACGCUAGCGGCAGGCCUCAUACAUGCAAGUCGAGGGGCAACAGGACACUUCGGUGUUGCUGGCGACCGGCGCACGGGUGCGUAACACGUAUGCAAUCUGCCUUGUACUGGGGGAUAGCUCUCGGAAACGAGAAUUAAUACCCCAUAUUAUCUCAUUAACACAUGUUAGCGAGAUGAAAGCUCCGGCGGUACAAGAUGAGCAUGCGUCCCAUUAGCUAGUUGGUGAGGUAACGGCUCACC
rnacentral:rRNA from 1 species